UACGUAGGGAGCAAGCGUUGUCCGGAAUCAUUGGGCGUAAAGCGCGCGUAGGCGGCCUUGUAAGUCCGUUGUGAAAGUCAAAGGCUCAACCUUUGAAAGCCGAUGGAUACUGCAAGGCUGGAGUCCGGAAGAGGCGAGUGGAAUUCCUGGUGUAGCGGUGGAAUGCGCAGAUAUCAGGAGGAACACCAAUAGCGAAGGCAGCUCGCUG
rnacentral:rRNA from 1 species